GAGAACUUCGAGGCACAACUUUGGGGAGCAACAGGGGUGAUAAAGCCCGUUGGGGCAGGGCUACUUCCCAAGAAAGUCUAGUGGGCGGCCUUUGGAUGUUCGCCCCAGGUGGGAGGAGACGGUGGCCAGGGCUUGGAAAGAACCCGUGGGUCCACGACCCUGGUGCUCAGGAGUCUUCGAUCUCCCCGUGAGUGGGAUUCUGAGCGCUGUAGUUCUGUCUAGGGGUCCGGGCGCUUCCCGGGGCUUCCCAGCUCCUGAGUCACAGCGGGCAGGGGCCGCUGAGGUGCAUUCCUCUGUAGGCAGGGCCGGAGCCCGGGCGGGGAGGGGACCGCAAGUCACUCCACCUGGCUGCUGGGACGUUGGGACUGGAGGGAAGGCUUCGGGCUCCCGUCAGAGAGGCGCCUAGCAAUUCUCACCCCCACCCCCCGUCCUCCGAUAAGCGGUAGCUUCAAGCAAUGGGUAAGGGGCAGCCUAGGGCGGUUGGUGGGGGGCAGCUCCCGGAGCUUGCCUGGGCAGGAGAGUGCCCGACUCCGGGGCGUGUCUUAGAUCGCGGGGCGGAGUCCUUAUAAGGCCCACGCCGGGGCCGCGGCCCUCAGCAGAGCGAGCGCAUUUGGUGCAAGCUUUCGAAAUGGCUUCGAAAACCGUGAAGACUUCUGAUGAGAUUCUUUGCGAGGGCGAGCUGGAGAAGCGAAGCGACAGCCUGUUCCAGGUCUGGAAGAAGAAGCGCUGCGUGCUCACGGCCGAUCGCUUGCGCCUCUUCUCCGGCAACAGCGAUCGGCCCAAGGAGCUGUACUUCCACUCCAUCCUCAAGGUGGACUGCGUGGAGCACACCUCCAAGUACGUGUACUUCACCAUCGUCACCAACUUUUACAAGGAGAUCGACUUCCGCUGCACAGUCGAGAGCUGCUGGAACGCGGCCAUCACCAUGGCGCUGAUCGACUACCAGAACCGUCGGGCGCUGGAGGAGUUUCGCCGCUUCAGGUAUCAGCAUUCUGCGUCUGAAACGCAGUCCUCGCCCUGAGGGCGGAGAGCUCUGGGUCCGUGGUGAGUACCACUCUCGUCCACGGCGUCGGAGUACCGGGCACGGGGAGACCCACGGGAGUAGUCGAGCCGGGAACCAGCCUACGCUGCCGCAUCAGACCGGAGCCCAGGAGCCCAGGAGCCCAGAGGAUGCCCCGGGUGACGCCGCCGCUGUUCUUCACCGAAGAUAUUCCCGUGCUUGCUGAGCCUUGCCCCGCUGUGCGGGUGCAUUAACUUAUUGGACCGUAUUUAUAUUGGUUACCUGCUUCCAACCCACCAUUCCGUGUUAAUAUUUUUUUAUACCAUAUUUUCAUCCCAAAUAAACAGUGCCAACUUCUUUU